rnacentral:lncRNA from 1 species
UACACUAUUGUAAUUAUUUAUACUCGACCGAAUAUUUCCUUUUGCGCAUGCAGUUAUCCACGACCUUGUAUAUUCUUAUAAUCGUCAUGAGUCAUCAUGCAGAAUUUGUCUCUUGAGUAAUUCAACUACGAGUGUCUCAUCACAUUGAAAUCCAUUUAAUAUGAAUGGCUGAAUGCCAAUGAAGGACGAAGAUUAUGAAUCCUUAUGUCUAAUCACAUAGGGAAAUAUGCAUGUAUAUAAAGUCUUCUCUUUGGAUCUAUGAACAUGCAUUACUAAACAGGUACUAUGUACUAUUUGGCUUUGUUAUCUAUGUGUGUUCGUACUUUAUGAAGGAAGAGAUAUAUAUAUAGUCAAGAUAUAGGACUUUAUAAUUCAAUGUUUUGUACUUUUUAUUGUGUAUUGUCUUUUCAAAUGUAGGUAAAAAUGGAAAAACGUGGGUCAGUUGCCAUGGAUGACAUGUUUCUUUUACUCGUAUUUAUUAUUUUCUUUGUUUUAUUUCAAUGUUGUUUUAUUAAAUAGUUGAAAAUAGAAGUAGUAUGAAUCUAACAUAAACAGUGAAUAUCUGGGUUCAUUUACUUACGAUUUGACUUUCGAUUAUUGUUUGAGAAACAACAAUGUUGGAAGAGGUUGCGAUUUAGUGGAAAUUUUAAGUUUCACUUUGCAUAGACAUAAAGAAAUUUAAAGAGUUUAUAUUGAGGGGUAUUCUUUAUUUUAUAAACUAGUUUUAUAAGGAUGAUUUGUAUCUACACACGAAGCUCAUAGUACAAGGAGGUAUAUUAUAAGAAUGAAUUAGGUUAAACUUUAAUAUAGUAUCAUAACAUAUCGAUUGAAACAAUUGGAACAAUGACCGUCCACCGUUUAUAACCACUUAUUAGGUUAAAAAAAGUGAAUUAGGCCUAAAAAACUGUGUUGGAUGUGAUAAUGAAUUAGAUUA